CUAAGUUUGAUGGCGACCGGCGCACGGGUGAGUAACACGUAUCCAACCUGCCGAUGACUCGGGGAUAGCCUUUCGAAAGAAAGAAUUAAUACCCGAUGGCAUAGUUCUUCCGCAUGGUAGAACUAUUAAAGAAUUUCGGUCAUCGAUGGGGAUGCGUUCCAUUAGGUUGUUGGCGGGGUAACGGCCCACCAAGCCUUCGAUGGAUAGGGGUUCUGAGAGGAAGGUCCCCCACAUGGGAACUGAGACACGGUCCAAACUCCUACGGGAGGCAGCAUG
rnacentral:rRNA from 1 species